UGUUAUAGGGAUCUGUAUCAGAAGGAAAAAAGCGACAUCAGAAGUUCAAAACAACACAAAUCUACAGCACCAUAGAACGGUGAGAGAUUCUCCUGCUGUAUGUUCUCAUUUGUCUCAGAUGGAGUCUUCUGAAGGGAUUUACAUGACCCUUGACCCCAAGACCAUGAGUGCUGAUUAUGACACACUGAAUAAUGUGAGGAAACCCAAUGAUAACAGACAACCUUGAAAGCACACAGCUCUGCCAUCAAAAACAGCUGGUGAGG